rnacentral:rRNA from 1 species
UUUUACAAUGGAGAGUUUGAUCCUGGCUCAGGAUGAACGCUAGCUACAGGCUUAACACAUGCAAGUCGAGGGGAAACGGCAUUGAGUGCUUGCACUCUUUGGACGUCGACCGGCGCACGGGUGAGUAACGCGUAUCCAACCUUCCCAUGACUAAGGGAUAACCUGCCGAAAGGCAGACUAAUACCGCAUAGUCUUCGAUGACGGCAUCAGAUGUGAAGUAAAGAUUUAUCGGUAAUGGAUGGGGAUGCGUCUGAUU